rnacentral:misc_RNA from 1 species
UAUGAACACCAUUUACAUAUAUAAUUUUGAAAAACCCUGUGUUGAUUGUUACGACGCAGCAGUGCAAAUGACUGAUAUCAAGUCCAAGCGAGUCCAUGGGUUUUCCACAACGGGAUGUGCGUCAGAGCACCGACCAAUCCUUGAUUUCCAUAUGCUCAUAUCUAACACAAUAACAGUUCUCUAGAUGACACUCGGUCUCGUCUAGUUACACAGAUACAUGCAACAUGUAACAUGCUCUAUAAGUAAUCCGUUUCAUGCAUGACGCAGAAGGGAUACUCGUAUCUACCUCACCCCGUCCAAGGUCAGCUAUACAGUUUGGCAACAGUGAGUCUUAUCGGGCUCUUCCAUCAGACAGACCACUCACACGGCGACGGGCUCAGUCAGGACUUCACUUACAGCUAUCAACAUGGGCGAGAUGGGUUGUGGACAAGAUAGGUACUAUGAUAAACCUACGCGGAGCUGUACCCACUGCUCUAUUCUAUGUGACGAUAUGGAUAUUCAGGACACUCGAGACCAGUGCAUCAAGUACUGCUUUGAUUAUAUGCAGACUACAUCAACCACGACCUCUGAGACGUCGACACAUCAAGCGGUGACAGAUCAAGUUCCAGUAAUAGUCAUAUGUGCGGUGCUGUUUCUCAUCACGAUCCUGAUCUUGGCCAGCAUCAUCUACUGCCACAGGAAGAAGAUGGUAGACAGGUUCAAGAGACUAGACUGUUGCAGAGAGAGAUCCCAGCCUCAUGCGCAGGAAACCGGACGUGAGAUGGAUAGCUUCCGGCAUGCACAGGAAACCAGACAGGACCCAGCCAAGCCGGAAGCUCACAGCCUGCUUCCUAGCGGACAUGAUGCUUUUCCCGAGAUGCCACAGCCGAGGUGAGGUCGAACUCCCUGCAGUGCGGCCCGAAUAACGAAAAUGGUUCUACUCUCUGCCCAGACUACAUUGAAACCCUUGCUCAACAACGACGGAUACGUGGUAUUCCCAGCGAACACCUCAUGACGGCAAACCAUUGCCACGACAGUACUGCAGGCAUGCUGCAACUGGUUCCCAUACACUGGGUCACCUUCUAUGAAGGUAACGUGUAUUGUACAACGUGAUUGUGAGCCACAUGAACACAGUUGCUGUUUGUGAUAUUCCGUAUACCAUCACACUAAGGCGUGAUGGACCAGGAUGAAGAAGCAGCGUCUUAGCCUAACAUAGGUUGGAUGUUUAUAAGGGUUGUUACCCAUUGAGUUGGUGCGGGACACCGACUUCAGCGUGAGGGACUUUCCCAGGAGUGAUGUCUCCGUGUGAUGCUGGUCCGUUACAUGGUGUAUGUUAUAAAUAUAAUCAUGCUUUUAUUGUUUCAUAUAGCUGUCCAAAUAUGGCACAGCAAACGAGGACAUUUUUUAUUUCGUGUUUUGGAAAGACUUUUUGCUCUGAAAUCUAGUUGUUAAUCUAUGCCAAUAUGUUUGUAUUUCAAUGAUUUUGUGUUAAGAACCCAAACUAUGCUAUUUGUCAUGUAGAUUGUUUACCAGUACUUGCUGAAGAUGAUGAGUGAGUGAGUAUGGUUUAACGCCGCCUUUAGCAAUAUUCCAGCAACAUCGCGGAGGGGGACACCAGAAAUGGCUUUCCCACAUUGUAAACAUGUAGGGAAUCGAACCCUGGUGUUCGGCGUGACGAGCGCAAGCCCUAACCACUACGCUACCCCACGGCCCCUGCUACUGAUGAGAAGGAUGGGCCAUAAGUGUUUCUCCAUUACCAUGGCGGAAGCAGUUUUAAACUUGAGAGUUGGACGGACGAACAUUAACAUACCUGAUGUUUUCUAAAGUAUCUUUCAUAGCCAUGGAUCCGGGUUGGAAUAUUGAUCUUCAGUAACCCAUGCUUGUCGUAAGAGGAUCGGGUGGUCAGACUCACUGACUUGGUUGACACAUGUCAUUCCCAAUUGCGUAGAUCGAUGCUCAUGCUGUUGAUCACUGGAUUGUCUGGUCCAGACUCGAUUAUUUACAGACCGCCGCCAUAGAGCUGGAAUAUUGGCGUAAAACUAAACUCACUCACUCACUCACUCACUCUAGCCAGAUUGUUUCAACCCUGUCGCUACUCCGGGUUCACGACGACCUUCUCCUGUUUCCCCCCUUACAGUUUACAGGACACAGUAUAAUUCUUACAAGUUUCGUCCAAUGCCAAACGUAGUUCUUUAAAAUGUUAUUUCUUAUACAUUGUAUUACUGUAUUAUUGUAUUGCAUUUUGGUAUGUUUGAAUGUCAUUUUGUACAUGUUUCAUGGUCAUUUUGAGUGCCCAAAGACAUCUAUUGCCAAUAUUUAUCAUUUGAAUAUUUUUGUAUUGAUAUCCCGAUGACACACCAAAUAAAACUACUGAAGAAUCCUGCAUCUUCAUGUUGUUUAUCUGAACCAAGACGCACACCUGUGUGCAUUUCAGCAUAAUUUACGACCCGGCAGAUAGAUGCCAGUUGGUAUGUCAAGCAUGUCGUGACAUAGUCUGUCUCACAGUCCAUGAACUGCAUUAUUUCCCCUACUGCCUAGCCCUCCCUGCAAUGCUAAAACCCUAAAUGAAGCAAAUCUAUAUUUCCCUAGGUUCAGGCUGAAUCGCUGGUCUCCUUGGGGUUCCUUUUCACUUUAGAUGGGUUUAUUUAUGACAAUCAAAAUUCUAUGCAUUCAGAGACUAAGUCUAGUCGUCAUAGUAUCGGAUCACAAUAGGUUAACAUCCAACAGUGUAUAGCUUUCUAAUUCUGUCUGAUUGCGGUCAUUCCGCUUCAUUUUUGCUCAUGCUAUUGAUCUCUAUUUUUCUGUACCAGCCAAGUAUUUACCGACCUUUGUGACCUCGUCAAACACGGUAGUAUGUUUUACGUGCAGUACGUACACUGGGGCAAACAUCCAGGAAGUUUGUCGGCGUAAACAACAUGCACACCAAUGAUAUAUGAUCCCUGUAUUGCGUCAGUGCUAACUUCCCCUUUAUAUAAUACAUGUCUCCGUUGAUAACUAUAUACGCAAAUGUUACUGUUAUCUAAUUCUUGAAUUGUAUUGCCAUACAUGGCGGCAGCGAAUUUAACAUUGUACACAACUAAACAAUGUGUGUUCCCCUCUCAAGCAUGACUCACUCGUUGACCUACAUGUGCAAGGUAUAGAAAUCCCCGAACCCCCCGUAGUGUUCCUGGAGAGAAAUCACUAGGCUGUCGGUACGGUAUAUAUUCUAUGACAAAGUGGAUUCUGUUUUCAAAACAGGGAAUGAAAUCCUUAAGUUCAACAGCAAUACCUCCACCCUUAAGCUACCAUGUGCUUUGAUCUUCGACUCUCAGAUAUAAAUAAACAGCUUGGGGAUUUCCCGUUUGACGUAGGGGGCGAGUGGGUGAAAAAUGAACCCCACAUGUUGCAUUAGGGAGUGGUCCGGUAUGUAGCCUGCGUUGUAGACUUCAUUCCAACAUAACUGUUUUCGAAGCGGAUCCUUGUACACGUUGGGGAAAACCAAGAUGUUCGGAUUUACCCAGUUUCUGGUUGUGUUUUCAUUAAUAUCCGUGGUGACCCCUGGGACAUUGGACCGGCCCGUGAAAUGUGACCCUGGCAUGUACUAUGACACUGCUAUUGGACGAUGUGACGUCUGUGAUGUCAUAUGUGACUAUGCCGAGAUUCAAGGAACUGUCCAAGAGUGUAGUGAUAAGUGUCCUGGGUAUAAAACUACAACCGAUAGCAAGUCAUUAAUAUCAACGACUUCCCUACCAGGGUCGCCAUCGGUGGACAUGAACGGCGUCAUGACGUCCACAUCAUCAACUACGUCAUCUUUGGGGGAGACGUCUGUCCAGUCUAGAUUGAUUAUUUUCCUUGUGAUAGCCUUAUGCGUUGUGACAAUCCUGAUGUCCACAGCGAUAAUUCUGCUGGUUGUAUGGAAGCUCAGAGGGGACACAUCACAUCAGAAGACUAUCCACAAGCGCAUAAACAGGACACCAUCUCCUAUAUAUAUGAAUGGACAAAAGAAAAGGAUAGACGGAGAUUAUGUUUUAAAUGGACUGUUGACACGGGACUUUGCAGAUGUGUGAAUCAUUUGGGUGAAUGUGACAUCGUUUCGGCAAACUGCAGAGACUGGGUCGUGAUCACCCGUUGUUGGCUAUAACAUAGGGCAUCUUAUAUACGUUGUGUUUCCUGUACAGCGCUGCUUGUAUAUACAUUUAUUUUUGUAAUAUUGAACUGUGUCGAUGCUCUGAUUUUGGGACUUGUUGAAUGAUUGUUGCCAUGUUCAAAUAUGUUUAUUAUUGAACGUUCUACACAAUAAAUAUUGACAAAAUGAUGAAUGCUUGACUUUGUGUAUGCGAGAUGCAAGCGGUGACAUCAUUCAAACACCAGAUCUCAAGAUGUCUUACAUAUAUUCCCAUAUCUGUCAUAAACGAUUUGAAAUAAAUUAAUAAAUGAAAUUAAGUUCAUACCAUUCUUUAAAUUCAGAAAUUAACUUAAAUUAACAGAAAUUAAAUUAUCAGAAUAUAAUUUAAGACCAAUUUCAUUUUUUCCAACACAAACCUUAAAAAGGGAACGGGUUAUAUAAAAGUGACAAACAAUUUUUUUUGUCACAGAAAUCUUGUUAAUUUAUCAAUUGUACGAUUCCAGCUAUAUCAUAAACAUGUAAAACGAACCCCCAUCAAACAGUGAUGACACAACAUAUUUGCGGAAAGGUGAGUGUAUCUUGACACCGUUGGCACCAUCACAAACACAUGCAACGGCAAAUCAAGUGUUCACCAGAGUAAACAUAGGUAUGAAGGGUCCAAUUGCAUAAUUUAUGUCACUGAUGCGCGAAAUGUGGAAAUAUCAAUGAGCUUUCCUGAGACCUUGACUGUUGAAAUCGUGAUCAAAAUAUUUGUUUCCGUAUCAGUGGUCCGAUGGUUAAGAGUGUCCGAUUGUCCCUCUCAAGGUGUGACACAUACCGAUUACACUAUAUAUCUCAGCUUUUAUGCAUAUCGUGCGUAUGACGAUUUUGAGAUUAAAAUUACAUUAUCACAUUUUAGCUUCUGUAUGUACGUACAAGAACCAUUAUGAAAAUUAUUUUUGAGAAGAUUCCUAAAGUACCCUUCAAUGAAACAUUAUCCCGAUUACAACACGCUAUUUUGGGAGAAAAAACGUUAAAAACGUUCAAUCAAUCAAUCUGUUAUUCGGUAGAAAGGCCUUCGGCCCACGAACAAUGUUAACAUAUGAAAUACAUUUAUGUGUUGCUGUCAAACAAAUGAAUUACGCAAAAUUAAGGCCUCUUAGCAUAAUUUGAGAAGGACAGUAAAUGAGUUGGAUUAUCAUGUUGAAGAUCAUAGACCAUGACAUCUUCAUUGAUGUACAUAGGUAUAUUUUCAAAGUAUUUAACACGUAAUUCGUUAUAUGUUGGACAUUUAUAAAGAAAAUGAAAUUCAUCCUCUAAAUAAUUCAAUUUACAUAUCAAUUGCAAUAGCGAUAUUGACGUGGAAUUCCAUCUCGCCUACCAAUAUUUGUAUAAAUGGGAAGCUCACCAAUUCUUAGUAACGUUAUCCCAGGUCUUGCUUCUUUUGAUUUUACAUAUGCGAGAUAAUCUUCUAAACAGUAAACAGUUUUAAUUUUAGAAUAAAUGUAAUGUUGAAUAUUCAUUAAUAUUAGCCAUUAUUGAUUGAACGUGGCAAUUCAUUUUCUUUGUUUCAAAUUGAAUAAAAAUACCUCCUUGAAUCCAACGUUUAAUACAAGUAAAGUUCAAGAUUCCCAAAAGGACAUGUUUACGUGUGACCUGUUUACGUGUUUCUAAAUUUGGCGGGUGAUACCGACUUGCGAAGAUAUUUACAGCCAAUCCCAUAUUGUACAACACAAUAGUACGCGCGGUAUAUAUUUUACAGGUCAGCAUUAUCGUUGUUGAUGAUAGUCCUCCUAUAUUCUGUUCACUGAGAAGAUCACAAGAACAUGGACUGCGACAAGGGCAUGUACUACGACCACGGCAGUGACAGCUGCGGGUACUGCUCUCAACUCUGCCACUACGUUGAUAUCCAGGGCACAAGAGCCGAAUGUGAGAAAAACUGUCCAGGUUACCUCCAAUCUACUACGGAGUCAGUUGUCACGACGUCAGUCCUAGAAGACAAUCCAUGGUAUACUGUAGCUAUUGUCGUCUCGUGUCUCGUGGUCCUCGUCGCUCUGGCUGCCCUCGUGUAUAGAGUCAUCAUACCAGCUGUAGUCAGGAGGCUGAAGAAACCGGACUGCUGUGGGGAUGGGACGCCAAGGCAACCCCAUACUCAGGAGACAGGACCCCGGGGGUCCAGACAGAAGGGACAGUAGGUUUACUGGACCGUAGCAACGGACAUCAGCGAUGACAACAUCUUCACCGCCAUCAACAUCGUCUCAAGGCUAAAAAAGACCACGCAUCUGUGGCAGACUUCUUGAAUUUUUACACUAUUUCAAGUCUCAGUCAGAUCAUCUCUUCAUUACCAUGAUCCUUAUCAUUAAUGCUUAACCAUACCACGUGGUAUGCUAUCUUGCUUCAUGUACAUAAGCCAAUGGCUCUCUGUCGAGAAGACAAUGAUCCUACUGCCAAGACACAUCUCGAAGACGUGUUCAGUACCAACCAACUUGGCUUUAUACCAAGACAGAUCUAAACCAAGUCAGCCUGUGAUAUAUGUUACCCCCAAGAGCCUCUUAGUGGCAACAUAUUUUGUUCAGGGCAUUAUUUAAUAAAUAUUUUUUAAUAGUUAUAUUUUGUCUCAUUUCCAACUUUUGAAACAGGAAGUGUCGUUUGUAUGAUUCUUUACCGGUAACAUUCAGGGUGUGAGAUGGGUGUAAAAGGAAGUUAAAAGUGACGUUCAGUGAACAGUUAACCUGCCUUGGCAUGUGAUUUCUUAUGAUAGGACAGGACAGGACAGGACAGGACAGGACAGGACAGGAUAGGAUUAGGAUUUGGAUUAUGAGUAUGAUUAUGACUAUUUUUAUUGCUUUUGUUUGUUCUAAUAAGAGUGUCCUGAAAAGGAGUAUGUCAUCGACAGUUGUAGCACAUAUCAAAAAGAAUAUAUUCAACAUGAACCUGCCUAUGACACAACUUCUAAAUAUACCGCUGGUGAUGACUAGUCGCAACGUGUUCAAAGGUACGGACUUGAAAACGAUAACCUGACAUUGCGUAAUGGUCAAUGAUGCAAUGAAGAACAAUGCAUGUACACACACUAACUACAUUUUGUGUUCGUGACGACCAUGAAACCCAAUAUAACCAGAUCGUUCUACCAAUCUUUCUAUUACGCAAUGGUUUUGUGUGGAUUCCCCACUGAGCUAUUUUUAGACUACAGUCACGUUGAUAGGGAAAUACGUUAGACAACGACGUCAAAUAUACCAAAUCCUUGCUGUUGGCAGUACUGAAAUGGCGACGAGUCUUAAGUUAAUAGUCCUAGUCAUUUGGAGUUCCACCCCGGGAACAUCCUUGAUGAAGACAUCAGUGACAUGUGACCCCGGAAUGUACUAUGACUUUGCGAUCGGGAGAUGUGAUCUCUGUGACUCUAUAUGUGACUACGCAGAGAUUCAAGGAACUGUACUUGAAUGUGCCACGAAGUGUCCAGAUUUCACAUCAGGUUACAAAAAAGCCAAAUCAGCGGAUACCUUGUCCAAACAACAAACUGUGAAGGGAUUGACAACGACAUCAACAACAGCUUCAGGAUCGUGUGGGGAGGAGAGAAGGACUAUCACGAUGUUGUUAAUAGCUUUGUGUGGUGUGUCGUUGCUGUUGAUAUUGAUGAUGGUUGUCAUUAUUGUUCUGACGUUCAGACGAGCACGGCAACACCAGACUGGUUACAGUGUUACCAGAACAACAGAACCAUUGAUACGUAGAGAUGGACAUGCGCAGUGCACAACCUCAAAUGGGCAGACACUGAAACAACCAGGAACUUCAGAAUCGAAAUCGGUUGCCUCAGAACGACUACCAGUUGCACAAUUCCCCAUGUCUUCGAUAUGAAGACGAAGAGUCGUAACUUGUUUUUUUUGUCUUUUGACUGGAGAUCGUCAUAGCAGAGAGCUUGACUGAAAGCACAUGUCUGUCACGGAAGAUAUGUCAUGGGUGACAAAGUCAAUCUGCAGGAACGCUUGUACUGACAAGAAAUUUUCAGUCCAAAAAUAAUACGUGACUCGCAAUCACUUUUGAGACACUCAAGACCUUUCACGUAUCACGUGACUGAUAGGAUCUGAAAAAGAUUUCACUAUUGUUUUUAGCACGCUGUAUAAAACAGACCAGAGUAUGUCGCCAUUGUGCAUUUACAAUGUGAAUGUCUGUAUGUUUCAUGUAGUGUACAUAAUCGAUGUAUUUAUAUCUGAAUACAGCAACGAUGACACUGACUCAGAUACAAUUUUAUAUCAUUAUGUAUACCACUGUCUGAAUUGUUUGAAAGACGGAUAACAAUUAUAGUUAUGUGUGUUUGAUAAUCAAUGUUGGGCAAUCAUAAUUUUGGAAUAAACACAUUUUCGCGAA